GACGGAAGGUGCAAGCGUUGCUCGGAAUCACUGGGCGUAAAGGGUGCGUAGGCGGCCUGGUAAGUCUGGCGUGAAAGCCCAGGGCUCAGCCCUGGAAGUGCGCUAGAAACUGCGAGGCUCGAGUGCCGGAGGGGAGAGUGGAAUUCCUGGUGUAGAGGUGGAAUUCGUAGAUAUUAGGAAGAACACCAGUGGCGAAGGCGGCUCACUGGUCCGGUACUGACGCUGAUGUGCGAAAGCGUGGGGAGCAAACAGG
rnacentral:rRNA from 1 species